rnacentral:rRNA from 1 species
ACGCUCGACACCUACGGGAGGCUGCAGUAGGGAAUCUUCCACAAUGGGCGCAAGCCUGAUGGAGCAACACCGCGUGAGUGAAGAAGGGUUUCGGCUCGUAAAGCUCUGUUGUUGGAGAAGAACGUGCGUGAGAGUAACUGUUCACGCAGUGACGGUAUCCAACCAGAAAGUCACGGCUAACUACGUGCCAACAGCCGCGGUAAUCUGAGCGGGCUGGCAAGGC